rnacentral:lncRNA from 1 species
AACACACAAAAACUAUUAACUUAUAAUAGAAAUUACUCAUAAUCAAUCAGAGAACCCAGAAAUACUCCACAGAAGGGUUCAAAUAUGGUUCUUAUUGGGUUACUCAGCGUUUAUAUUUGUUUUCUAGAAAACUCUGCCUUUCCAUAAUUUCUCCCUUCAACCUGGUUCUCUGUCCUGCAGCCACAAAUGGCUUUUGCUCCCUUCACCGAGGCAUUCAUUUAACAAGCUGAGCAUUCAGCAUAUGCCAGUCACUGGAACUCAAGGAUAAUCAAUAAAUUGUCCAUGCCAUUAAGAAACUUAGCAAAUGAAUGCUACAGUCUGAAUGUUUGUGUCCUCCCACCCUAUACCCACCCCCAAAUAUGUUAAAACCUAAACCCUAAUGUGGAGGCACAAAGAGGCAGGGCCUUUGGGUGAUUGAUUCUGAGGGCUUAUCCUCAUGGAUAGGAUGAAUGCCUUUAUAAAAGAGAUCCAGGAGCUUGCUGGCCCCUUCUGCCACAAGAGACACAGCAGAAAGUUGCCAUCUAUGAGGAAGAUAUACGGGCACUUUGAUCUUGGAGUUUUGAACCUCCAGUGAGAAAUAUAUGACUGUUUUAUGUUAAAAAGCCUAAGAUAUUUUGUUGUAGCAACCCAAACAGAGACCAUAGUAUAUUUUAUUUAGUAAGUAAAUUAAUACAUAAAGGAUUUCUGCUGUGUAUUAGAAAUGCUGAAGUGAUCAAUCUCCAUGAAAUGUAUAUUCUAAUAGAAGAAAAAGACAUUGAAGUCUUAAUUUAGUAUAGAAUUGCCUUGUGACCUACUCUACAAAGAAGCUGAUAACGAGGUUGUGAAGCAAGAUGUCUGACCUCGUUAGGAAUCAGGGUCAGCUUCCUGGAGGAAGAAGCAGUGCCUGAGAACUAAAACAUGAACAGGAAUUAAAUACUGAAGGCAGAAAGAGAAGACAAUGUGCGAAGACAUUGAGAAGAAAAGGCACAGAGCACAUUAGAGGGACUCAAACAGCCAGAAUGACUGAUGAGGGAAGGCUGAGAGGUGGACAAGCUAUGUAAGUUAUGCAGGCCCUGAGGGUUAGCAGGUUUAAAACAGGGAUGGAACGAUUAGAUCUGCAUUUUUAUAAGAUUACUCUAGCUGCUGCAGCCUGGAGAAUAAGUUGUUGGGAAUGCAAGAAUAAAAACUAGGAAAGACAGAAGAAUGCUAUUACAUUAUUCCAGGCAAGAGAGAUAAUGAGAGUGUGAAGGACGUUGCAGCACUGGAAAUGGGGGUAAAGGGGGGUUAGAGAGAUGUUUUAGCAAUAAUUAUUACAGGCCUCGCUGACUGAUUGGAACCAACCCCAAGAAUUCUGGUGUCAGUGGAUCAGUGACAGCACCGUUUCUCACAAAGAAUAUUGAGAAAGUCCACGGUGAGAGGCAGUCUGGUCUGUGAGGGAGGCAGACAUGUAAAGCGAUCACACCACUGGGAUGCGUGGCACUACAGAGACAGAGAAGUCAGCAAAGCCUCCACUGAAAAGGCAAUAAUGGGCUGGGUCUUGAAGAAGAGAAGGAUUUUUUUUCUCUUUUAGACCUCUCCUUUCACACUCUCUUAGUCAAAGAAAUGACAUAUGCAAAGACCAGGAUCAAAGAUGAGAUAAAGAAGUGGGCAAAGAUGAGAACUAGGGUCAUCUCCUUGAAUUAUGUACUUAAUUUAUGCCCUUGUUCCAAAAAUUAAUCAUUAUUUUGAAAAAUAUAUGCUAGAUUUGUUCAAACGUGGUGGGCACUGAGGCAGGCAUUACCAAGACCCCCUUCCAUGGAGGAUGCAGUACUCCAGUGCUGAUGGAGACAGCCUCCACCUGGCAUUGCCUUCAGGGUGAUAGUCUCAGCUGCAGGAGCCACCUGACUGCAGUCAUGCCAAUGGAAUAUGCAAAGCAUGUGACUUCAGUGUUCCCUCAGCUGGGAAGGCUGCUCCCAC